ACUCAAAUGAAUUGACGGGGGCCCGCACAAGCGGUGGAGCAUGUGGUUCAAUUCGAUGCAGAGCGAAGAACCUUACCUGGGCUUGACAUGAGGGAAGUAGGAGGUGGAAACACCGACGACCUGUUAAGUCAGGAGCCCUCACAGGUGGUGCAUGGCUGUCGUCAGCUCGUGCCGUGAGGUGUUGGGUUAAGUCCCGCAACGAGCGCAACCCUCACCCGAUGUUGCCAACAGUACGGCUGGGGACUCUUCGGGAACUGCCGGCGAAGAGCUGGAGGAAGGGGGGGAUGACGUCAAGUCCGUAUGCCCCUUAUGCCCAGGGCUACACACAUGCUACAAUGGGCGGUACAGAGGGUGCCCAACUCGCGAGGGGGAGGCAAUCCCAGAAAGCCGUUCACAGUUCGGAUUGGAGGCUGCAACUCGCCUCCAUGAAGUCGGAAUCGCUAGUAAGCGCAGAUCAGCAGGCUGCGCUGAAUACGUUCCCGGGCCUUGUACACACCGCCCGU
rnacentral:rRNA from 1 species